rnacentral:lncRNA from 10 species
AGGAUUAUUUUAAAAGUUGAUUUAUUACAUCUCUGUAAUUGUGAGGAGGAGAGAAAUGUUAUUUUUGUUUUUGGGGGGAAAGUUGGGAAAGAUAAAACAGAGUCCCCUUUAAAUGAGAGAUUUAGGUCUAUUGAACUUUGCAAAAUUUUCAAAAAUAAUUUGAUCUUGGAUGUAGCUGAAAUAUGGAUUGUCAUAUGUGUAUGAUAUAUAGUUGCAAUUGCUCAAUUUUUUCCUCAAAAAACUUAAAUUACAUAGUAAAUGUUUAAAACUCUUUGUGGAAGUAUAACACAAUACAGAAAAGGGCAUAUAUUAUAAGUCUUUGGUCCAGUAAAUUUUCACAAACUGAAUAUAUUUAUGGAGCUAGCACCCAGAUCAAGAAACUGAAUAUUCUUAGUACCCCAGAAGCCCACUGAAUAAGUUCUCAUUUAUACAGGUGUCUGUCUCGAUUAUGUCCGAAAAUUGAUUGUAUGUAGAGCAGUAAUAAUAGUAAUAUACAUUUUCUAUUAAUAUAUUUAAGUCACAUUUGUAUAUAGUUACAUAUGUAUUGUGUAGGGAUUCUUAUUGAAGUUUUUCUGUGGAAUUCCUCUCAUCGUUAUACAACAUGUUUUAAAGACAGGUCAAUAGAAAUACAUAGAAGAUCCCUCACGUCAUGCAUAGCUAAAAUUAAAAUCACUGAUUACCCUGCACAUUCUUAGAGGUUUCCAGAUAACGCUGAACACCAACCAUGCAAGUCAUAGAAACAGCUGAGGACUCUGUGUAACACUCAGUGACGAGGGUGAUUCAGACCCAUGGCUAUUAUUAGAGCAAGCAAGUGUUAGAUGUGUAAACAGACUAUUAAAUAAUGCCCUUGGAAGAGGGUAAGAAAGUGAAUCUGAGUAUCUGGCCCUUAAUCUCUCCAAACUGUACCAGUCCGAAUCCAAAUGUCACGUCAGUCCCUAUUCCCGCUGCUCUUGGCCUUGGACUCUGCAUGUCUGCUGCCAGGACAGAGUCGAGCUCCAUGUGGCUGUGUCUAUGAGUGACCUGGACUCACCUCUCUUUGUCAAGUGCUCCUCCAGGAAGAAAGGGAGAGAUGGGUGUGACGGUCAAGAAACAGUCCAGAGACUCCAGUAGGCACAUUUCUCAGAUCUUUUGUCACAUUUUACUGUGACUUCAACUGAAAUUGUUGUCUUAUUGGGCUUUUUAAAAAGUGCCAGAGAUCCUUUAGUAGUUCAUAAGCGUGAUGACUGGGUAUUCAUGCAUAUGUGUGAGAUGUGCCACCCUGGCAGGUGUGGUGGCUCCCACCUGUAAUCCCUGCACUGUGGAAAGCUGAGGCAGGAGGAUGGCUUAAGCCCAGGAGUUUGAGCCCAGCCUCCGCAACAAAGUGAGAACUUGUCUCUACAAAGAAUAUAAAAAUUAGCCAGACAUGAUGGUGUGCACCUGUGGUCCCAGCUAUAUAGGAGGCAGAAGUGGGAGGAUCCCUUGACCCAGGAGGUGGAGGCUGCAGUGAGCCAUGAUCUCACCACUGUACUCCAGCCUGGACAAUAGAGCUAGACUCUGUCAAAAAAAAAAAAAGAAAAAAAGAAACCUGCCACCCUUGAACCUCAUUAUGACAUCAGCACAUUACCUGUCUGACAUGAAGAAAAGAAAAAAAAAGUGCCAGAAACAACACAAUAAUUGUAUGAUUUUGUGUGGGUGAUAAUUACAUUUUACAUUUGAAGGCCCAAGUCUGAAAGGUGAGCACCAGCCAUAUAAAUGGAAUCAAAGCAGAAGUUAACACAACUCUCUCCAGUGAAAAUAAAAUCAGUUGCACAAUGAGACAAACUGGUAUAAUAUGAAAUACAUUUGGGCUUUGUCCCCAGUUCCUGACAUGGAGCUCCUAAAUCCCUUGUAAUUGCCCAAGUGAUAAUGGUGAUAGGAGCAUCUUCUGUUAUAAUAUUUGGUUAUUAUACAAAGUUGUUGAACACCUCAGAAUUUCCUGAGUGAUAGGAAAUUCACCACUGCUGGGUUUUUUUGUUUUUUGUUUGUUUGUUUGUUUGUUUUGAGACAGGGUCUUGCUCUGCCACCCAGGCAGCAGUUUGACACAAACUGCUCACUGCAGCCUCGAACUCCCAGGCUUAAGUGAUCCUCCCACCUCAACCUCUUGGGUAGCUGGCACUACAGGUGCACAUCACCACACAUGGCUAAUUUUUUUUUUUUUUUUUAAGAGACAAGGUCUCACCACGUUGCCCAGGCUGGUCUUGAACUCCUGGGCUCAAGUGAUCCUCUCACCUCGGCCUCCCAUAAUACUGGGGUUACAGGCGUGAGCCACUUGGCCUGGCCCCACAAGCACUUUUUAUCACACCUGAGUUUAUGAUAAUGAGGUGACUUAUGGCGGGGUCCCUAGAUAACUUCAAGAUGGGGCCAACCAGUUGCUAGAAAGAACAAGUGAUUAGAGGACUAAAGUAUCAGAACAUUCAGCCGCACCCACCAACCUUCAAGUAUCAGAACAUUCAGCCCCUCCCACCAACCUUAAAGUAUCAGAACAUUCAGCCCCUCCCAUCCACCUCCAGGGAAAGGGUCGUCAGAGGCACUGGAGAUUAAACUCUGUAAAAACUCUGGGACAAUGGAAGCUCUGCUCUCCCUCCUCCAAAACUCACCCUCUGCAUCUCUUCAUCUGUAUGCUUGCUAAUAUCCUUUAUAAUAAACUGGUAAACCUAGGUAUUUCUCUGAGUUCUGGGAGCUGUCCUAGCAAAUUAGUUGAACCCAAGUGGGGACUGUUGGAGCUCUGGUUUGUGGCUAGUAAGUCAGAAUGGGUGGCCUGGACUUGAGAUUGGGAUCUAAAGUCUUUGUGGACUGAGACCUCAGGUAGAUAGUGUCAGAAUUGAAUUGAAUUACAGGACAGCCAGUUGGCUGGUGUGUAGGGAAAAACCCACACCUGGUCACAGAAGUGUGUUCUGCGUUCUAUCUUUCAUUGAGCAUGUGAGUAGAAAGGAAAAAAAUAUUUGUUCUUCCCUUAAUGCAGAAAAAUUUUUAAAACUAAUUCUAAAUGUACCAAAUAAUUACAAAUAUCACUUUUUUUUUCUUUUGAGACAGAGUCUCAUUCUAUCUCCCAAGCUGGAGUGCAGUGGUGUGAUAACAGCUUACUGCAACCUGAACUCUCAGGCUCAUGCAAUCUUCCCACCUCAGCCUGCCCUGAGGAGCUGGG